rnacentral:tRNA from 1 species
UAAUAAGAAGCAAAAAAUUGCAUUUAGUUUCGGCCUAAAAAUUUGAUUUUAAAAUCCUUAUU